UGGGGAAUAUUGCACAAUGGGCGCAAGCCUGAUGCAGCCAUGCCGCGUGUAUGAAGAAGGCCUUCGGGUUGUAAAGUACUUUCAGCGGGGAGGAAGGGAGUAAAGUUAAUACCUUUGCUCAUUGACGUUACCCGCAGAAGUAGCACCGGCUAACUCCGUGCCAGCAGCCGCGGUAAUACGGAGGGUGCAAGCGUUAAUCGGAAUUACUGGGCGUAAAGCGCACGCAGGCGGUUUGUUAAGUCAGAUGUGAAAUCCCCGGGCUCAACCUGGGAACUGCAUCUGAUACUGGCAAGCUUGAGUCUCGUAGAGGGGGGUAGAAUUCCAGGUGUAGCGGUGAAAUGCGUAGAGAUCUGGAGGAAUACCGGUGGCGAAGGCGUCCCCCUGGACGAAGACUGACGCUCAGGUGCGAAAGCGUGGGGAGCAAACAGG
rnacentral:rRNA from 1 species